UACGGAGGGUGCGAGCGUUAAUCGGAAUAACUGGGCGUAAAGCGUACGCAGGCGGGUUUUUAAGUGAGAUGUGAAAUCCCCGGGCUUAACCUGGGAAUAGCAUUUGAGACUGUAAGUCUAGAGUACUGUAGGGAGGGAUGGAAUUCCACGUGUAGCGGUGAAAUGCGUAGAGAUGUGGAGGAACACCGAAGGCGAAGGCAAUCCCUUGGGAAUGUACUGACGCUCAUGCGCGAAAGCGUGGGGAGCAAACAGG
rnacentral:rRNA from 1 species